UUGAACGCUGGCGGCAGGCCUAACACAUGCACGUCGCACGGUAACAGGAAGAAGCUUGCUUCUUUGCUGACGAGUGGCGGACGGGUGAGUAAUGUCUGGGAAACUGCCUGAUGGAGGGGGAUAACUACUGGAAACGGUAGCUAAUACCGCAUAACGUCGCAAGACCAAAGAGGGGUACCUUCGGGCCUCUUGCCAUCGGAUGUGCCCAGAUGGGAUUAGCUAGUAGGUGGGGUAACGGCUCACCUAGGCGACGAUCCCUAGCUGGUCUGAGAGGAUGACCAGCCACACUGGAACUGAGACACGGUCCAGACUCCUACGGGAGGCAGCAGUGGGGAAUAUUGCACAAUGGGCGCAAGCCUGAUGCAGCCAUGCCGCGUGUAUGAAGAAGGCCUUCGGGUUGUAAAGUACUUUCAGCGGGGAGGAAGGGAGUAAAGUUAAUACCUUUGCUCAUUGACGUUACCCGCAGAAGAAGCACCGGCUAACUCCGUG
rnacentral:rRNA from 1 species